rnacentral:rRNA from 1 species
UACGUAGGUGGCAAGCGUUGUCCGGAUUUAUUGGGUUUAAAGGGUGCGUAGGCGGCCUAUUAAGUCAGUGGUGAAAUAUCUCAGCUUAACUGAGAAGGUGCCAAUGAUACUGAUGGGCUUGAGUACAGAUGAGGUAGGCGGAAUUGACGGUGUAGCGGUGAAAUGCUUAGAUAUCGUCAAGAACACCUAUAGCGAAGGCAGCUUACCAGGCUGUAACUGACGCUGAGGCACGAAAGUGUGGGGAUCAAGCAGG